rnacentral:rRNA from 1 species
UACGAAGGGGGCUAGCGUUGCUCGGAAUCACUGGGCGUAAAGCGCCACGUAGGCGGAUCUUUAGUCAGGGGUGAAAUCCCAAGGCUCAACCUUGGAACUGCCUUUGAUACUGGGGGAUCUCGAGUCCGGAAGAGGUGAGUGGAACUGCGAGUGUAGAGGUGAAAUUCGUAGAUAUUCGCAAGAACACCAGUGGCGAAGGCGGCUCACUGGUCCGGUACUGACGCUGAGGUGCGAAAGCGUGGGGAGCAAACAGG